ensembl:snoRNA U3 Small nucleolar RNA U3
AAGACUCUACUUUCAGGGGUCAUUUCUAUAGUUUGUUAUUAGAGAAGAUUCUCUGAAGGUGUAGAGCAUCAAAAAUAAAAUAAAAUUUUAAAAAGGAAAUAGAAAAUCUGA